AGCCUAGGCUGGCUGCCUGAGAGUAGCGAGUGACAGGUAAGGGCUCUGAACCUUCCUGCGUGCUACCCAAGGAGUGCCUAGGGCUACCAGGAGGCCCAGGGAGGAACCUUGAGACCUGAGAAAGGCUUUUCUUCCCCGAGAGGACCACUGCUCAGGCUCAGAGGCCAUGGGGUGAAGUGCACAAAAAAGUGGGCGUCCAGCCAUGCUCUAAGUCCCCCGAAGAUGAAGACCAGGGAGCAGCUUCCUCCAAUGAAGCAGCAGCAAUCAGAGGACCAGGAGGCUGAAGCCCUGAGCCCAGCCAGAGGCAGGAUCAGCCAAGUCUGGGACAGGCUUCAAUUAUUUUAGGCAGAGCUUCUGGUUCCUGGGCCUUCAGACUUGGACUAGAACUUCACUACCAGCUUUCCUGGGUCUCCAGCUUGCAGAGAGCAGAUCGCAGAACUUCUUAGCCUCCAUAAUCACGUGAGCCAAUCCCUCAUAAUAAAUCUCCUUGUGUGUGUGUGUGUGUGUGUGUGUGUGUGUGUGUUUGUGUGUCUGUACAGAUAGAUUCUGUAUCUUAUUGGUUCUGUUUCUCUGGAGAACCCUAAUACAAUAUACAUGUAUGUCUACAUUCUAUGAAUGUAUAUAUCGCCAAGAAAUGUUAAGUCAAAAAAGCAAGUUGCAAAACAGCAUGUAUAGUAUGCUACCAUUUGUACAUGUGUGUAAACAACUCUGGAAGGAUCUUCAGGAAACAAAUUACAUUGAUGGCUUAUGAAGAAAGAAGCUAGGUGGCUGUUGGGGCAGAAGAGAGACUCAACAUUUACUUUUUUAUACUCUUUGAAUUUUGAACCAUGUGAAUGUGUAACCCAUAUAAAACAUUAAAUUUUAAAAAGUCACCUUAAAAAUAAAUGAAUACUGUCCACUGACAGAUAAAUGGAUAAGCAAGUGUAGUAUAUGAAUACAAUGGGAUAUUGUUCAGCCUUUAAAAGGAAGGAAAUUCUGACUCAUGCUACAACAUGGAUGAACUUUGAAGAUAUUAUACUAAGUGAAAUAAGCCAGUCACAAAGGGAUAAAUAUUGUAUGAUUCUAGUUAUAUGUGGUACCUAGAAUAGUCAAAUUCAUAAAGACAGAAAGUAGAAUGGCGGUUGCCAAGAGUUUGGUGAGGGGGUAGGAAUGGGGAGUUAUUGUUUAAUGGGUACAGUUUCAGCUUUGCAAGAUCAAAAGAAUUUUGGAGAUUGCGUGCACAACAAGUGAAUGUACUAAAACUACUUGAUAUGGUUUGGCUGUGUCCCCACCCAAAUCUCAUCUUGAAUUGCAAUUCCCAUAAUCCCCACAUGUCGUUGGGGGUACUGGUGGGAGGUAAUUGAAUCAUGGGAGCAGUUACCCUCAUGCUGUUUUCAUGAUAGUGAGUGAGUUCUCACAAGAUCCAAUGGUUUUAUAAGGGGCUUUUCCCCUACCCUUCAUUCUCAUUCUUCUCUCUCCUACCUCCAUGUGAAGAAGAACGUGUUUGCUUCCCCUUCCACCAUGAUUGUAAGUUUCCUGAGGCCUCCCCAGUCCUGCAGAACUGCUUUGAAGAAGACCACUGCGUCGGUAUUUGUGAAAUGUUUUGAGCCUCUGGAUUUAAAUAAGGUGAAAUAUAAAGGAUCCUUUUCACUACUGGGCACGCCUAACUGCAUGUCUUCUAAACACUGCUUGUGAUGGUCAUUCAUACCAAAGGACGGAAACAGAAAGCACAGAUCACAAAAUCCUCUGGCCAAAUGGGGAAUCUGACCCUGAAACGAAGGAGCAGUGUCAAUGUCCUGAGCCCCACUGCCAGCCUCAGCUCUAUGAGAAAGGUGGCAGAGAGGUGGCAAGGAGGCACACACAAAAGACUGGUGUUUGUCCUCUCCAUGCUUCUGCCAAAUCUUAUAACCUCCCGUCCCCGACUGGCAAGCCAAAUAGUAGCACCAUCCCUACAGGUUACAUUAUACCCUGAAAUUAACAUUACAAAUCAAACCACUUAGUUUUAAAGUGCUUUUCACAAGCCUACUAACUUAAUCCAUGACUAGUGCUAUGGGGGUUGUUAAUAGGUUCUCACAUCUCCCCAAAACAGCCCUAUUUAAGACCCCUCCUCCAUUACCCACACACCAGCCUGCCUUCCUCACUCAGGGUGAGGACCCACAGUGAACGACAGUAGUAUUCUCCUCUCUCUUCUGUUGACCUAGAUUGACCUGAGUGGGGGUUUUAAGACUGAUCUCUCUUCCCUCUUCUCAUACCAAGUCUAAAUUCCACUGCUGGGCUUUCCCUGCCUGCUGUGAUUUGACUCUACCUUUCUAUACAGCCAACUUCUUACCACCCACACGCUCACCUCUGCCUCAGUCCUCAGGCCUGGAAAGGCCCUUUGAAUCUUCCUUUAUGCCUCUCCUGCAGAUCCAGGCACAAGUCCAACCCUCCACCAGCCUGAAUCCGUCUUUUCCUCCUCUGAAUUCCUAUGGCAUUUAUAGUUAGCACCCUACAAUUUACUGAACCACUUAAUUAUAUGCUCUCUGGCAUUGCUCAGUGAUUAUGUCUUGCUUUUAGUCUGGCCUCCUGAGUAGAUAUUGAAUCUCAGUGGGGCAGAAACUAUACUUUAUACAUGUUUAUUGUAUCCUCAAGAGCACCUACUAUUACUAAUGGCAGUCAGCACUUAGUGUAUACGACACACAGUACUUUAUGUAUGCUAUCUAUUUAAUACCACAAUAUCUCUAACAAGGCAUUAUCAUGCCUAUUUUUCAGAUGGAAAACCAAAGCUCAGGGAGUUUUACAUGGGCAGGCAGCUGGUGAGGGCUGAGACUGGAGCCAGGCCAGUGGUCUUCAAAGGCUUUAGUCAAACUUUUUGACAGAUAUAAGAAAACCGAACUAAGGAAAAUACUUUCCUGGGAUCAUCCCUAUAUGAAGUGGCAGACCUGGAAUUGCUCCCUGUUUCAAAACAUGUAAGCUCCUCAAGAACAGGAACUUUUGUCUGUUUGUUCAUUGUUGUAUCUCCAAUCCUUAGAACUAUGCCUGGCUCAAAGUAGGUGCUCAAUAAAAUAUCUGCUGAAUGAA